rnacentral:rRNA from 1 species
CAGCAGCCGCGGUAAUACGUAGGUCCCGAGCGUUGUCCGGAUUUAUUGGGCGUAAAGCGAGCGCAGGCGGUUAGAUAAGUCUGAAGUUAAAGGCUGUGGCUUAACCAUAGUACGCUUUGGAAACUGUUUAACUUGAGUGCAAGAGGGGAGAGUGGAAUUCCAUGUGUAGCGGUGAAAUGCGUAGAUAUAUGGAGGAACACCGGUGGCGAAAGCGGCUUACUGGCUCGAUACUGACGCUGAGGUGCGAAAGCGUGGGGAGCAAACAGGAUUAGAUACCCCAGUAGUCCCUGUCUCUUAUACC